GCCUGGGUGAUGGAACUGGCAGACAUGCGGGACUCAAAAUCCCGUGGUGGCAACACCGUGUGGGUUCAACUCCCACCCUAGGCA
rnacentral:tRNA from 1 species